GAUGAAGAACGCAGCAAAAUGCGAUAAGUAAUGUGAAUUGCAGAAUUCAGUGAAUCAUCGAAUCUUUGAACGCACAUUGCGCCCGCUGGUAUUCCGGCGGACAUGCCUGUUCGAGCGUCAUUUCAACCCUCAAGCCCCCGGGUUUGGUGUUGGGGAUCGGCUCUGCCCUUCUGGGCGGUGCCGCCCCCGAAAUACAUUGGCGGUCUCGCUGCAGCCUCCAUUGCGUAGUAGCUAACACCUCGCAACUGGAACGCGGCGCGGCCAUGCCGUAAAACCCCAACUUCUGAAUGUUGACCUCGGAUCAGGUAGGAAUACCCGCUGAACUUAAGCAUAUCAAUAAGCGGAGGA
rnacentral:misc_RNA from 1 species